GUGAUAUUAGCUAGGUAAUUCUAGACUUGUAUAUGAUUCUAAAGGUGGACACUUCCUGCAGUGCAAAACAGUGCUAGAGUCUGAAAGAGGCCGUUUAUCUAAUUAGAGAUCUAGUGUCAGCAUGCUAUAUGAGGCCAUAUUCAGACUUGGUUUAUGCAACCACCCCUAUAAAGAAGUUGAUGUUAAAGCUUUGCUUUUAAUCAGAGCUGCAAUACAGAUUCAGUCCAGCAGGAAUUGAUAAGUACAGCAGUUCUGGAGUCUACUGGAGUAGCUACCUACUGGAAUCACUUCUGAAUCCUCAGACAUCUCUUCACCCUCCUCUGGCUACACUAUAGGUUAUCUAUGCUUUGGACGCAUAAAGGUAUCUUUCUUAGGAUGUUAGCAUGGAAUAAAUAUGAACGUCAUUCCAUAUGCUAAAUGCUCGUCACUGUGGAGCUCCUGGAAGCAUUUGCAAUGGAAAUGGAGACAGCUUGACAUGAUCAUAAACCACACUACUGGAAGAAAGUAUGGGGAGAGCACAAGCAGAGAUAACAGAGGUGCCACACAUCCAGGCCUCUGCUUGCCACUUUCCCCCUUGACUGGGGAACUGGAAGAACAUCCACCUAAUAAUAGGGGUGUGGACUGA
rnacentral:lncRNA from 1 species